rnacentral:rRNA from 1 species
GAUGAACGCUGACAGAAUGCUUAACACAUGCAAGUCUUUGGCGAAGCUGUGCUUGCACAGCCUAGCCAAGGCGGACGGGUGAGUAACGCGUAAGGAACUUGCCCUGCAGUCAGGGAUAACAGACGGAAACGACUGAUAAGACCUGGUAAAGUCAGGCGGACUCAUGUCCAGCCUGAUGAAAAGAGAUGCUGCAGGAGAACCUUGCGUCCUAUUAGCUUGUUGGUGGGGUAACGGCCCACCAAGGCGAUGAUAGGUAGCCGGCCUGAGAGGGUGGACGGCCACAAGGGGACUGAGAUACGGCCCUUACUCCUACGGGAGGCAGCAGUGGGGAAUAUUGGACAAUGGGGGCAACCCUGAUCCAGCAAUUCUGUGUGCACGAUGAAGGUUUUCGGAUUGUAAAGUGCUUUCAGCAGGGAAGAAAAAAAUGACGGUACCUGCAGAAGAAGCGACGGCUAAAUACGUG